GAUGAACGCUGGCGGCGUGCCUAAUACAUGCAAGUCGAGCGAACAGACGAGGAGCUUGCUCCUCUGACGUUAGCGGCGGACGGGUGAGUAACACGUGGAUAACCUACCUAUAAGACUGGGAUAACUUCGGGAAACCGGAGCUAAUACCGGAUAAUAUAUUGAACCGCAUGGUUCAAUAGUGAAAGACGGUUUUGCUGUCACUUAUAGAUGGAUCCGCGCCGCAUUAGCUAGUUGGGAAGGUAACGGGUUACCAAGGCAACGAUGCGUAGCCGACCUGAGAGGGUGAUCGGCCACACUGGAACUGAGACACGGUCCAGACUCCUACGGGAGGCAGCAGUAGGGAAUCUUCCGCAAUGGGCGAAAGCCUGACGGAGCAACGCCGCGUGAUUGAUGAAGGUCUUCGGAUCGUAAAACUCUGUUAUUAGGGAAGAACAAAUGUGUAAGUAACUAUGCACGUCUUGACGGUACCUAAUCAGAAAGCCACGGCUAACUACGUG
rnacentral:rRNA from 1 species